rfam:Gossypium hirsutum cultivar TM-1 chromosome 8, whole genome shotgun sequence
AAACCAUGGUGAGGGCACCUUCUCAAUAGGUCCUUCUAUCUCUCCCACGCAUCAUAAAGUGUUUCUAAAUCCAUCUGCAUAAAAGAAGAAAUAUCAUUCCUUAAUUU